GAUGAACGCUGACAGAAUGCUUAACACAUGCAAGUCUACUUGAUCCUUCGGGUGAUGGUGGCGGACGGGUGAGUAACGCGUAAAGAACUUGCCCUGCAGUUCGGGACAACAUCUGGAAACGGAUGSUAAUACCGGGUAUUAUACUUUAGUCGCAUGACUUUUGUAUGAAAGCUAUAUGCGCUGCAGGAGAGCUUUGCGUCCUAUUAGMUUGUUGGUGAGGUAACGGCUCACCAAGGCGAUGAUAGGUAGCCGGCCUGAGAGGGUGAACGGCCACAAGGGGACUGAGACACGGCCCUUACUCCUACGGGAGGCAGCAGUGGGGAAUAUUGGACAAUGGACCAAAAGUCUGAUCCAGCAAUUCUGUGUGCACGAUGAAGUUUUUCGGAAUGUAAAGUGCUUUUCAGUUGGGACGAAGAACGUGACGGUACCAAACMRRA
rnacentral:rRNA from 1 species